CCUUAUAUCAUGAGCCCAUUCUUUUACCAUGCUGGUAUCAAACUGGUCAGCUCGUUGAAAGGCGUCGUCCGCCAAAUACAUGAUGCGGGCAAGUGGGCCGAUGGAAUCCAGCAACUUGUCCUGGACUCCGUGGAAUCCUUUUUCCACGCCCCUUCGGGGGUCACGGCCGCCCCGAGACAUGAAUGUGGUCAUGACCUGGUCGAAUUCGGGUGUCUGAGCCA